rnacentral:rRNA from 1 species
GCGGAGGAAAAGAAACUAACAAGGAUUCCCCUAGUAACGGCGAGUGAAGAGGGAAGAGCCCAAGAUUGAAAGCUGGCGUCUUCGGCGUCCGCAUUGUAAUCUCAAGAAGUGUUUUCCGCUUCGGACCAUGCCUAAGUCCCUUGGAAAAGGGCAUCAUAGAGGGUGAUAAUCCCGUACAUGGCAUGGAGCGCCCGAAGCUUUGUGAUACGCUUUCUAAGAGUCGAGUUGUUUGGGAAUGCAGCUCAAAAUGGGUGGUAAAUGCCAUCUAAGGCUAAAUAUUGGGGAGAGACCGAUAGCGAACAAGUACAGUGAUGGAAAGAUGAAAAGAACUUUGAAAAGAGAGUUAAACAGUACGUGAAAUUGCCAAAAGGGAAGGGUAGGAGGUCAGAGAUGCGGCCUAGGAUUCAGCCUUGCUUUUGCUUGGUGUUUUUCCUAGGUUGCAGGCCAACGUCGGUUUUGGGCACUGGAGAAGGGUGGAAGGAAUGUGGCACCUCUCGGGGUGUGUUAUAGCCUUCUACUGGAUACAGCGACCGAGACCGAGGACAGCAGCGUACUCGCAAGAGCGGGCUUCGGGCACCUUUACGCUUAGGACGUUGGCAUAAUGGCCCUCUACCACCCGUCUUGAAACAC